rnacentral:rRNA from 1 species
CAGUAGCCGCGGGAAUACGUAGGUGGCAUGCGUUGUCCGGAAUUAUUGGGCGUAAAGGGCUCGCAGGCGGUUUCUUAAGUCUGAUGUGAAAGCCCCCGGCUCAACCGGGGAGGGUCAUUGGAAACUGGGAAACUUGAGUGCAGAAGAGGAGAGUGGAAUUCCACGCGUAGCGGUGAAAUGCGUAGAGAUGUGGAGGAACACCAGUGGCGAAGGCGACUCUCUGGUCUGUAACUGACGCUGAGGAGCGAAAGCGUGGGGAGCGAACAGGAUUAGAUACCCCUGUAGUCCCUGUCUCUUAUAC